UGGGGAAUAUUGGACAAUGGGGGCAACCCUGAUCCAGCAAUGCCGCGUGUGUGAAGAAGGUUUUCGGAUUGUAAAGCACUUUCGACGGGGACGAUGAUGACGGUACCCGUAGAAGAAGCCCCGGCUAACUUCGUGCCAGCAGCCGCGGUAAUACGAAGGGGGCUAGCGUUGCUCGGAAUGACUGGGCGUAAAGGCGUGUAGGCGGUUUGUACAGUCAGAUGUGAAAUCCCCGGGCUUAACCUGGGAGCUGCAUUUGAUACGUGCAGACUAGAGUGUGAGAGAGGGUUGUGGAAUUCCCAGUGUAGAGGUGAAAUUCGUAGAUAUUGGGAAGAACACCGGUGGCGAAGGCGGCAACCUGGCUCAUAACUGACGCUGAGGCGCGAAAGCGUGGGGAGCAAACAGGAUUAGAUACCCUGGUAGUCCACGCUGUAAACGAUGUGUGCUAGAUGUUGGGCUAACUUAGUUAUUCAGUGUCGCAGUUAACGCGUUAAGCACACCGCCUGGGGAGUACGGCCGCAAG
rnacentral:rRNA from 1 species